rnacentral:rRNA from 1 species
AUUGAACGCUGGCGGCAGGCCUAACACAUGCAAGUCGAGCGGAUGAAGGGAGCUUGCUCCUGGAUUCAGCGGCGGACGGGUGAGUAAUGCCUAGGAAUCUGCCUGGUAGUGGGGGAUAACAUCCGGAAACGGGCGCUAAUACCGCAUACGUCCUGAGGGAGAAAGUGGGGGAUCUUCGGACCUCACGCUAUCAGAUGAGCCUAGGUCGGAUUAGCUAGUUGGUGGGGUAAAGGCCUACCAAGGCGACGGUCCGUAACUGGUCUGAGAGGAUGAUCAGUCACACUGGAACUUGGACACGGUUCAGAAUCCUACGGGAGGCAGCAGUGGGGAAUAUUGGACAAUGGGCGAAAGCCUGAUCCAGCCAUGCCGCGUGUGUGAAGAAGGUCUUCGGAUUGUAAAGCACUUUAAGUUGGGAGGAAGGGCAGUAAGUUAAUACCUUGCUGUUUUGACGUUACCAACAGAAUAAGCACCGGCUAACUUCGUG